rnacentral:rRNA from 1 species
CGCCAGACUCCUACGGGAGGCAGCAGUGGGGAAUAUUGCACAAUGGGGGAAACCCUGAUGCAGCGACGCCGCGUGAGCGAUGAAGUAUUUCGGUAUGUAAAGCUCUAUCAGCAGGGAAGAAGAUGACGGUACCUGACUAAGAAGCCCCGGCUAACUACGUGCCAGCAGCCGCGGUAAUACGUAGGGGGCAAGCGUUAUCCGGAUUUACUGGGUGUAAAGGGAGCGUAGACGGCGAUGCAAGCCAGGAGUGAAAGCCCGGGGCCCAACCCCGGGACUGCUCUUGGAACUGCGCGGCUGGAGUGCAGGAGGGGCAGGCGGAAUUCCUGGUGUAGCGGUGAAAUGCGUAGAUAUCAGGAGGAACACCGGUGGCGAAGGCGGCCUGCUGGACUGCGACUGACGUUGAGGCCCGAAAGCGUGGGGAGCAAACAGGAUUAGAUACCCCUGUAAC